rnacentral:rRNA from 1 species
CAAAGAUCUUGGCGGUGUCUUAUAAAACCAGGGGAACCUGUUUCAUAACUCGAUAAUCCACGAUUACCCAACCUCUUUUUGAAAUCCAACUUGUGUACUGCCGUUGUAAGCAUACCUUUAAAAGAUUAAGUAUACCACUAUGACUCAUAAACACUUUAACUCAUCUACAUCAGGUCAAAGUGCAGUUUAUAAAGAGGAGAUAAUGGGUUACAACCUAAAAAAAGACAUGAAUUAAAAAAUAAAAAAUGUUAUGAAAGUGGACUUGGCUGUAAUCUAAAAGUACAGAAAAAAAUUGA